AUUGAACGCUGGCGGCAGGCCUAACACAUGCAAGUCGAGCGAGCGGCGGACGGGUGAGUAAUGUAUGGGGACUGCCCGAUAGAGGGGGAUAACUACUGGAAACGGUGGCUAAUACCGCAUACUAUCGGAUAACCCAUAUGGGAUUAGCUAGUAGGUGGGGUAAAGGCUCACCUAGGCGACGAUCUCUAGCUGGUCUGAGGGGAUGAUCAGCCACACUGGGACUGGGAAACGGCACAGACGCCUACGGAGGCAGCAGUGGGGAAUAUUGCACAAGGGGCGCAAGCCUGAUGCAGCCAUGCGGGGUGUAUGAUGAAGGCCUUCGGGUUGUAAAGUACGUUUGGCAGAGAAGCGGUAUAUGCAGAAUAAGCACCGGCUAACUACGUGCCAGCAGCCGCGGUAAUAC
rnacentral:rRNA from 1 species